AGUGAACGCUGGCGGUAGGCCUAACACAUGCAAGUCGAACGGCAGCACAGUAAGAGCUUGCUCUUACGGGUGGCGAGUGGCGGACGGGUGAGGAAUACAUCGGAAUCUACUUUUUCGUGGGGGAUAACGUAGGGAAACUUACGCUAAUACCGCAUACGACCUACGGGUGAAAGCAGGGGAUCUUCGGACCUUGCGCGAUUGAAUGAGCCGAUGUCGGAUUAGCUAGUUGGCGGGGUAAAGGCCCACCAAGGCGACGAUCCGUAGCUGGUCUGAGAGGAUGAGCAGCAACACUGGAACUGAGACACGGUCCAGACUCAUACGGGAGGCAGCAGGGGGAAAUAUGGGAAAAGGGGCGCAAGCCUGACCCAGCCAUACCGGGGGGGGGAAGAAGGCCUUGGGUUUGUAACCCUUUUUUGUUGGGAAAAAAAAGCAGCAGUUGAACCCCCGCCUGUUUUGACGGUCCCAAAAAAAAAAGCCCCGGCUAACUUCGUG
rnacentral:rRNA from 1 species